rnacentral:rRNA from 1 species
CGAAUGUUGUCGAAGCAUAGUAGUAUCCUGAGUAGCGCGGAGCACGAGGAAUUCUGCGUGAAUCAGCCGGGACCAUCCGGUAAGGCUAAAUACUCCCGAGAGACCGAUAGUGAACCAGUACCGUGAGGGAAAGGUGAAAAGCACUUCGAACAGAAGAGUGAAAUAGUUCCUGAAACCGUGCGCCUACAAGCGGUCGGAGCAGCGUAAGCUGUGACGGCGUGCCUUUUGCAUAAUGAACCUACGAGUUACCGUUGCCGGCAAGGUUAAGGGUCAUGAGGCCUGUAGCCGAAGCGAAAGCGAGUCUGAACAGGGCGUAUAGUCGGUAGUGGUAGACGCGAAACCAAGUGAUCUACCCUUGAGCAGGUUGAAGUCCGGGUAACACCGGAUGGAGGACCGAACCAAUAAGCGUUGAAAAGCUUCUGGAUGACUUGAGGGUAGGGGUGAAAGGCUAAUCAAACUUGGAGAUAGCUCGUACUCCCCGAAAUGCAUUUAGGUGCAGCCUUGCGGGUUACUGAUGUGAGGUAGAGCGACUGAUAAGAUGCGAGGGCUUCACCGCCUAUCAAGUCUUGACAAACUCCGAAUGCGCAUCAGUUCUACCGCAGGAGUGAGGGCAUGGGUGCUAAGGUCCGUGCCCGAGAGGAGAAGAAUCCGGACCACCUGCUAAGGUCCCGAAAUGACAGCUAAGUUAAACUAACGAAGUCUGACUGCUAAGACAGCUAGGAUGUUGGCUUGGAAGCAGCCAUUCAUUUAAAGAGUGCGUAACAGCUCACUAGUCGAGGAGUCGGGCGUGGAUAAUAAUCGGGUAUUAAGUUGUCUACCGAAGCAGUGGGAUCAUUGAUAUGAUCGGUAGGGGAGCAUUCCAGUCGGCGUCGA